GGGGAUUUAGCUCAGUGGUGUAAGCGCCUGCCUUGCAAGCAGGCAGUUGUGAGUUCGAUCCCUG
rnacentral:tRNA from 1 species